rnacentral:rRNA from 1 species
AGUGAACGCUGGCGGUAGGCCUAACACAUGCAAGUCGAACGAGUGGCGGAAGGGUGAGGAAUACAUCGGAAUCUACUCUGUCGUGGGGGAUAACGUCGGGAAACUUACGCUAAUACCGCAUACGAUUGAAUGAGCCGAGGUCGGAUUAGCUAGUUGGCGGGGUAAAGGCCCAUCAAGGCGACUAUCCGUAGCUGGUCUGAGAGGAUGAUGCGCCACACUGGAACCGAGACACGGUCCAGACUCCUUCGGGAGGCAGCAGUGGGGAAGAUUGGACAAUGGGCGCAAGCCUGAUUCCGCCAUACCGCGUGGGUGAAGAAGGCCUUCGGGUUGUAAAGCCCUUUUGUUGGGAAAGCGGUACCCAAAGAAUAAGCACCGGCUAACUUCGUGCCAGCCGCCGCGGUAAUAC